rnacentral:rRNA from 1 species
GGUUAAGUGACUAAGCGUACACGGUGGAUGCCUGGGCAGUCAGAGGCGAUGAAGGACGUACUAACUUGCGAUAAGCGCAGAUAAGGCAGUAAGAGCCGUUUGAGUCUGCGAUUUCCGAAUGGGGAAACCCAACUGCAUAAGCAGUUACUGUUAACUGAAUACAUAGGUUAACAGAGCAAACCGGGGGAACUGAAACAUCUAAGUACCCCGAGGAGAAGAAAUCAACCGAGAUUCCGGUAGUAGCGGCGAGCGAACCUGGAUUAGCCCUUAAGCACUCGGUGAAGUAGGUGAACAAGCUGGAAAGCUUGGCGAUACAGGGUGAUAGCCCCGUAACCGACGCUUCAUCGAGCGUGAAAUCGAGUAGGGCGGGACACGUGAU